AGCGAACGCUGGCGGCAGGCUUAACACAUGCAAGUCGAGCGGAUGUAGCAAUACAUCAGCGGCAGACGGGUGAGUAACGCGUGGGAACAUACCUUUUGGUUCGGAACAACACAGGGAAACUUGUGCUAAUACCGGAUAAGCCCUUACGGGGAAAGAUUUAUCGCCGAAAGAUUGGCCCGCGUCUGAUUAGCUAGUUGGUGAGGUAACGGCUCACCAAGGCGACGAUCAGUAGCUGGUCUGAGAGGAUGAUCAGCCACAUUGGGACUGAGACACGGCCCAAACUCCUACGGGAGGCAGCAGUGGGGAAUAUUGGACAAUGGGCGGAAGCCUGAUCCAGCCAUGCCGCGUGAGUGAUGAAGGCCCUAGGGUUGUAAAGCUCUUUUGUGCGGGAAGAUAAUGCGGUCC
rnacentral:rRNA from 1 species